CAAAAUUUAACAUAAUAAAUGUGUCUCACUUACACUGAGAAAAUAAUUAAAAUAUAAUUAAUUUUGA
rnacentral:tRNA from 1 species